UGGAUGAGAGCCACUCUGGCUAGCCAAGAAGACCCACCCAUGCAACCACACAAACUGCAUCCAUCACAGGGGCUUCCCAGCCGAUGGUGAGAUGGAUCAGUUAGCAGAGGCAUUGCAUAGGCAAGUCAUUCUUGGCUACCGGAUGAAAGGAGGCUCUCCAUCU
rfam:Triticum aestivum genome assembly, contig: Triticum_aestivum_CS42_TGACv1_scaffold_329534_4BS